rnacentral:rRNA from 1 species
AUACGUAGGGGGCGAGCGUUGUCCGGAAUUACUGGGUGUAAAGAGCACGUAGGCGGAUGUAUAAGUCAGGUGUGAAAGACCGCAGCCCAACUGCGGGGUUGCACUUGAAACUGUAUAUCUUGAGGGCAGGAGAGGUCAGUAGAAUUCCUGGUGUAGCGGUGAAAUGCGUAGAAAUCAGGAGGAAUACCAGUGGCGAAGGCGACGGACUGGACUGACCCUGACGCUGAGGUGCGAAAGCGUGGGUAGCAAACAGGAUUAGAUUCCCUGGUAGUCCACGCCGUAAACGAUGGAUACUAGGUGUGGGAGGUAUCGACCCCUUCCGUGCCGCAGCUAACGCAAUAAGUACCCCGCCUGGGGAGUACGGCCGCAAGGCUUAAACUCAAAUGAAUUGACGGGG